rnacentral:lncRNA from 1 species
UACUGCAGCCGCCAAUUCAGAUGUUAACGAACGUUGUUGGAAACGACACGGUCGGUGGAAAAGCGACACUGCUAAAGAUGGUUACGUGGCCGAUUCACUUGAUCAUCGGCUUCAGGUUACGAAAAAACUUGGUUUGUGAAUGUUUAGGGUUUGAAUUUUUUAUUAUGAUUUAUGUUUUGAUUAGUAUCUUACAUUAUAUUCAUACCGCAUUUCUCACGCCCGUUCUUUGUUUUUCUAGUCUGUCUGCACGGCAAAAUGCAUAUUUUAGUUGAGUAUAAUUUAGUGGCCAAAAUUAUUGUGUAGUUAGG